UUUAACAAUGAAUAAAGAAACCUAUAAUUUCAUUUUUCAUACAAGAUUCUAAUAAGACAUAUUUAUGUUACUAAUACUUUUUUGUUUUCAGCAUAAAGUAUUACACAAUGUGAAUUCAGCUUCUUGUUUAUUUAGUGUGUGUAAUUUUUAAAAAUAACAGCGUUUUCGUAUAGUUAAGCACUUAUUCAUUAAUAACAAACAUAGUAGUUGAUACUUUACAAGGACGCCCUCUAUUAACGACGCGAUAGAACUAAGAAAAUUGAUGAGAUGAAAAGAAUACCUAUGCACAUGGAUGUAUGAAUUUAUGUAUCUUUAUACACAGAAAUGUGUCUGUGUAAUGCCUACAUAAAUAUGUAGUAAAUAAACUAGUAAACGUUUUAUGAGUAAUUGAAUAUAAACGGAUUAAAAAAGUGUAAAAAUUUGUCCCUAGUUUAUUCAGUAAAUUCACUGGUUGAAAUAUAAAAUAAUAAUAUGAUGUGCUUAAAAACUGUGCACAGUAGAAACUUGACGUCAUGUGUUACAAUAGCGGCGAUAUUUAUUAUUAUUUUUUCGAGGUUGAAAUAGCUGUAUGAAAGAGAAAAUGCUGUUAUCGUUUUGUGCAAAUGAAGUUAAUUGAUCUUCAUUGAGGUUCUUACAACAUUAUUUUAAUGAUGAUAAACUGGAAGAUUUUAUGUUCUAUGAAAUAAGAAACGUUAAAGAAUUUCGCGUGGAAAAGAUAAAAAAAAAUAUACGUUCAUUGCUUCAAUGUUAAGUUUGUUUGUAUCCGUUAUCACAUAACAUCAUUUCAUUGUAGUGUUUAGCUGUAGAUUUUCUGAUAACGACCAGAUUCUGUGAGUGCGUUUCUGCGUAUGCGUUACUAAGUGUACUUGCACUGCUCGAAGGUAAAAAAGUCUGGAGACAGUCGCGGGCCGUCUGUGUCUGAGAAUAAAUGUGUGCAAGGAACGCCUUGUGAUGCGUGUAGUUAAUUCACUGAAAUAAGGCAUAAAGACAGCGCAUUCAUUUACUGUCAUGUGUCACUCACUAAUGAUUAAAAAAUACAAUGUUUGUUUGUGUUAGCUACCAUAUAACAUCUCUUAUUACCGUGUGUCUCAUUCACUACUGGCUGAAACACGAUGCAAUAAUGGUAGUUUUGUUUGUGUUAGUUACCAUAUAACAUUUCUUAUUAUAGUGUGUAACACUCACUAUUAGCUAAAACACGAUGUAAUAAUGGUAGCUUUGUUUGUGUUAGUUACCAUUUAACAUUUUUUGCUACUGCGUGUUAUUAUUGGCUAAAACACGAUAUGAUAAUGACGAGCGCACGAAGACGGCCGUACUUUUGAGUGGAGAGGGAUAUUGACCAGAAGAAACUCAAUCUGUAUAAGGUUGAGUAUCAGAAAAGAAAACCAGUAACCUGAAAGUGGACUUUCCUUCAUCAAGGGUAAAUGGCCAUUGACCAUAUGAAGCACGAAGCUAUCCAAUGGACCAUCUGUGCACUGUCCAACACGUUAUAAGCCCUCAGACUAACGGCCGAGCCACUGUGAGGAGAGGGGGCGGGGGCUUAACUGUUUGCAGUAUUUUUCUUUGAUUAUCUUAUUAUUAUUAUUAUGUUUAAGAUUGACAACAGAGGUCAAAGUACUGCAGAGCUAGCUCAGAUUAAAACCCAAAAACUUGAGCGCUUUUGAAGGUAGUCAUUCUAGCUUCAAGGUUGAAUUCAUCCAGAAGAAGAAAAAUGUAUCAUCCGAAAAUGUUGAGAUUAUCGGGCUUCUUAUUUUGUGAUUCAUCCAGUUAUUGAUUUCUUAAUAUCAAGCACAGAUUAGAAGUGAUGCACGUCAAACGGGAACAGUGUAGUGUUGUUAUAUAAUAAUAGAAGCAGUGUACUGUUAUUAUAGAAUAAUAGGAAUAGUGUUCUUAUGUGUGGAUUCCAACGAUGAUAAAAUAGAAAAUAUAAUGUACCGUCGGUCGAUGUAAUUCCAGCUGUUAUAUAAUAAAGUAUUGUCAUGAUUCUA